rnacentral:rRNA from 1 species
GUCCACGCCUAACGAUGGAUACUAGACAUACGCGAUACACUGUGUGUGUCUGAGCGAAGCAUUAAGUAUCCCACCUGGGAAGUACGUCCGCAAGGAUGAACUCAAGGAUUGGCGGGUCCGCACAAGCGUGGAGCAUGUGGUUAAUCCGAAGCAACGCGAAGAACCUUACCAAGUCUUGACAUCCCAUUGACGGAUCCUUAACCGGAUUUCUCUUCGGAGCAAUGGAGACAGGUGGUGCAUGGUUGUCGU